rnacentral:rRNA from 1 species
UACGUAGGGCGCAAGCGUUGUCCGGAAUUAUUGGGCGUAAAGAGCUCGUAGGCGGUUUGUCGCGUCUGCUGUGAAAACCUGAGGCUCAACCUCGGGCUUGCAGUGGGUACGGGCAGACUAGAGUUCGGUAGGGGAGUGGGGAAUUCCUGGUGUAGCGGUGAAAUGCGCAGAUAUCAGGAGGAACACCGGUGGCGAAGGCGGGUCUCUGGGACGGUACUGACGCUGAGACGCGAAAGCGUGGGGAGCGAACAGG